rnacentral:rRNA from 1 species
AUCCGGGUUGCGGACAGUGUCUGGUGGGUAGUUUGACUGGGGCGGUCUCCUCCUAAAGAGUAACGGAGGAGCACGAAGGUUGGCUAAUCCUGGUCGGACAUCAGGAGGUUAGUGCAAUGGCAUAAGCCAGCUUGACUGCGAGCGUGACGGCGCGAGCAGGUGCGAAAGCAGGUCAUAGUGAUCCGGUGGUUCUGAAUGGAAGGGCCAUCGCUCAACGGAUAAAAGGUACUCCGGGGAUAACAGGCUGAUACCGCCCAAGAGUUCAUAUCGACGGCGGUGUUUGGCACCUCGAUGUCGGCUCAUCACAUCCUGGGGCUGAAGUAGGUCCCAAGGGUAUGGCUGUUCGCCAUUUAAAGUGGUACGCGAGCUGGGUUUAGAACGUCGUGAGACAGUUCGGUCCCUAUCUGCCGUGGGCGCUGGAGAACUGAGGGGGGCUGCUCCUAGUACGAGAGGACCGGAGUGGACGCAUCACUGGUGUUCGGGUUGUCAUGCCAAUGGCACUGCCCGGUAGCUAAAUGCGGAAGAGAUAAGUGCUGAAAGCAUCUAAGCACGAAACUUGCCCCGAGAUGAGUUCUCCCUGAGACUUAGAGUCUCCUGAAGGAACGUUGAAGACGACGACGUUGAUAGGCCGGGUGUGUAAGCGCAGCGAUGCGUUGAGCUAACCGGUACUAAUGAACCGUGAGGCU